CAGCCGCCGCGGUAAGGCAGAGGAUGCAAGCGUUAUCCGGAAUGAUUGGGCGUAAAGGGUGUGCAGACGGCUUAUUAAGUCACUUGUUAAAUUCUUCGGCCUAACUGAAGGUCUGCAAGUGAUACUGAUGAGCUAGAGGGUGGAAGAGAGAAGUGGAAUUCUCGGAGUAGCGGUAAAAUGCGUAGAUCUCGAGAGGAACUCCAAUGGCGAAGGCAGCUUCUUGGUCCAUUCCUGACGUUCAUACACGAAAGCGUGGGGAGCAAAUGGGAUUAGAUACCCGCGUAGUCCCUGUCUCUUAUAC
rnacentral:rRNA from 1 species